rnacentral:rRNA from 1 species
CACGUAGGGCGCAAGCGUUGUCCGGAAUUAUUGGGCGUAAAGAGCUCGUAGGCGGUCUGUUACGUCUGCUGUGAAAACCCAGGGCUUAACCCUGGGCUUGCAGUGGAUACGGGCAGACUAGAGGCAGGUAGGGGGAGAAUGGAAUUCCCGGUGUAGCGGUGAAAUGCGCAGAUAUCGGGAGGAACACCAGUGGCGAAGGCG